AGUGAACGCUGGUGGUAGGCCUAACACAUGCAAGUCGAACGGCAGCACAGGAGAGCUUGCUCUCUGGGUGGCGAGUGGCGGACGGGUGAGGAAUACAUCGGAAUCUACCUUUUCGUGGGGGAUAACGUAGGGAAACUUACGCUAAUACCGCAUACGACCUACGGGUGAAAGUGGGGGACCGCAAGGCCUCACGCGAUUAGAUGAGCCGAUGUCCGAUUAGCUAGUUGGCGGGGUAAUGGCCCACCAAGGCGACGAUCGGUAGCUGGUCUGAGAGGAUGAUCAGCCACACUGGAACUGAGACACGGUCCAGACUCCUACGGGAGGCAGCAGUGGGGAAUAUUGGACAAUGGGCGCAAGCCUGAUCCAGCCAUACCGCGUGGGUGAAGAAGGCCUUCGGGUUGUAAAGCCCUUUUGUUGGGAAAGAAAUCCUAUCGGUUAAUAACCGGUGGGGAUGACGGUACCCAAAGAAUAAGCACCGGCUAACUUCGUGCCAGCAGCCGCCGUAAAAC
rnacentral:rRNA from 1 species